rnacentral:rRNA from 1 species
UACGUAGGGUGCAAGCGUUAAUCGGAAUUACUGGGCGUAAAGCGUGCGCAGGCGGUUGUGCAAGACCGAUGUGAAAUCCCCGGGCUUAACCUGGGAAUGGCAUUGGUGACUGCACGGCUAGAGUGUGUCAGAGGGGGGUAGAAUUCCGCGUGUAGCAGUGAAAUGCGUAGAUAUGCGGAGGAACACCGAUGGCGAAGGCAAUCCCCUGGGCCUGCACUGACGCUCAUGCACGAAAGCGUGGGGAGCAAACAGG